AACCAUUCUCACCUGCGGCUAGACCUGCGGAAGGAUCAUUACCGAGUUUACAACUCCCAAACCCCUGUGAACAUACCUAUACGUUGCCUCGGCGGAUCAGCCCGCGCCCUGUAAAAAGGGACGGCCCGCCCGAGGACCCUAAACUCUGUUUUUAGUGGAACUUCUGAGUAAAACAAACAAAUAAAUCAAAACUUUCAGCAACGGAUCU
rnacentral:misc_RNA from 1 species